rnacentral:rRNA from 1 species
UGAUAGGCCGGAUGUGGAAGCCCUGUAAGGGGUGGAGCUGACCGGUACUAAUAGGCCGAGGGCUUGUCCUCAGUUG